GCCAAAGAACCACAUUGCACUCUUCUCCUUAUCCUAGGUGUUUUGAGGAACAGAUCCCAGGUAAUUUGAGUAACUCUACCCAAUGGCCUCUCAAGGACUCACAGUAGACUGAGUCAAAGAGGAAAAGAUGUUGUGCCUUUGUAAGUUUCUAGACCCACAUGAAGGGGUCAUGGUCAUUCAAAUUCUUAGAGGGAAAAGAGAAAUCAGUUCUAAAAGAAAUCACACUGAACCAAUAGAGUCUUGGGGAUAGAGAUACCUUUACAAGAUACAAGGAUGUGGAUUUUUCUGAUUCCUGAAGACCUAUAGUAUGUGAAGUCUGAGACCACAAGAACCACAGAUGAAGAGAAUUUUUUUAGAAACAGAAGCACCUAGAGUUAUAGUUUCUAAGAAUAAUGAAAGAUUCCAGAGAUUCCAAAGUAUCAUGUAUUAUAAAUGAAGGAGAACAGAAAUUAACGUAAGCUUCAGCUGAAGCAAUGCAAGAUCAUAAAAGGGACCAUGGCAGAAAACAAGGGAGUCAAUGGACCCCACCAACAUGGAGAGGAAACCGUAGGAAUCAAAUAGUAUUCUGAGAGAGGAAAUCUGACAGUUCCUAAGCAAGAGGCAGAAGGAUGAGGGGGAGAUAUAAUAUGAAGAACAGAUAGAGAAUACCUAUUCCUGUUGGUCAAAACAGGGAUCAGCAGAAUCCUGGAACCUGGCUUCCUAUCAUCACAGAUUUAAAUAUGGGAAGGGCCUAAGAGAGCUUCUAAGUGCAAUUCGUUUUAGAGAAAAGGGAACUAAAGUCCAGAAAGGUAAAACCACCUACAUAGUAAGUAGUAGAGAUUCUAACCUAGUUACUUUGAUCUCAAAUUCCAUGUUUUCUUCAUGCCUCUCUAUCACUUCUGACCUAACAAAUAGGAGAGAAGGAAUGCACUGGAAAAACCCAACAUCCCCACCAGUUGGAUCCUUUAGAACACAAGUAUCACACAAUUUAUUUAUUUCCUUUCACUUUUUUUUUCACCUGGCGGGGGGAGAGGGGAGAAGGAGACUGAUGGCUACAUUUUUCAUUAUUCUAUCCAGUAAAUUACUGAUUUACCAUGUUGAUGGCAAUCAGAGAGGAGAGUUCUCAGGCAAGAUUAGUAAUGUGAGCUGGAAUAGCAAAAGAAGUAUUUGUAACUCAUAUAGUCACAGAGGUGAUUUCUAAUACAAGUACAUAAAAAGUCAAAGAAAAAUAGAAGACGUAGAUUCCAGUACUGACUUUAUCACUAACUAUGUGACCUUUGAAAGUCACAAUAUCUCUGUGACUCAGUUUACUGGUGUCUGCAAAAUAAAAAGACAACACUAGAUCUUGGUUCUCAUUUAUUGGCUCAUGGUGCUUCAUGUGAAUAGUCUAAGGGUUUUGUGCUAAAAAAAAGUAAAUAAUAGUAUAUAAUUGUAAAGAAUAUUAUGAGUAGCA